GGCUGGUACGCACAUUCAGACCUCGCGUGCUGGAUUGGGCCCCUGUAAGUGAGAUGACCCAAAACAGAGGAGGAGUUGCUGCCUCAUAACUUGUAACCCAGGUGUCUGGGUACUCACGUGGGGGAAACAGCUUUGACAAGAGCCUGAGGGAGACCCUGCCCCUAUCAGGGCUUAAGGUUCCCACCAGAGCCCAGGACAAAUCCCUUUUCUCCAGCGGGUACAGGGGAGGCUUGAAGCAAGGUGUCCCAUAUCCCAGCUGCCUUAAGUGGACACUCAUUCCUAUCCUUCCCACCUCCACAGAUCAGAUGAGUGUAUGAAGAAGCAGCUCAGAUGGUUCCUCUUCUGAAAGACUAAAUGGAGUUCUGCAGGGGGAUUUGCUGCAGUUCUACUCUGCAAUGCGACUCCAUAAAAAGCAUGCUAGGGCUCUGUCAUCUCUGAAUUUCCACACCAAAUUGUGCUCACUUUACAGGUGGGGGUGAAACCUAAGCCCUAACUUUGGAUCCAGAUGUCAACACCCAUCAUUUGGGGGUGUUUCAGACCAUUAUAGUGAAGGUCCAGCUGUCAAACAAGGCUUAGAUGAGGAGCUACAAUAUCAUUUGAAGUGAAACUCACCAUUUAAAUGAGUUGUGACAAGCCAACAGAAGGCGUUCUUUAGGACAGCAUCUGCUCUUUUCUACAGACUCCGAAUAAUUCAUCCACAACAUGGCACUUCUGAGUGACUAGCCCUUCUUUAAGGCUGUUGGAUGAACACUAAUAGUACCCCAUCUAUUUUAACCUUUACAUCAUCUCUUCUCUCCUCACCCUGACUCCCACUAAAUGCUGUUGAUGCUGGUGUGCUCAGAUCCGAGUCCAAGAAAGAUUAACUCCUAAAAUCCAGUUUUGGAACCAGAUGUGGGAAUGGCAAUGACUCCACAAGCCGUUUUAGCACGAUGCAGGAGAGGCAAAGUUUAUGCAUGAGGUCACAAUUCAUAGAGGGAAGGGUGAGGGCAGCAACAUACAAAACUCCAGGAGAGCUGAGAGCCCUGGAGGCCAUUCAUUUAAAUGUAUAGUGAAAGGGAGACAUUCAGCACAUGCCUAUCACGUUAUUAAAACGGAGAAGGGCUGCUAUAUUGA